AGCGGGACGGUAUAGACUCUGGGUCGGGGUCAGGCUUCUGGGUCUGUAACCUCGUAGCUUUUUGGCCUGGGCGAGGCUCUGAACCUCUAGGAUUCAGUGCAUCUUCUGUGCGCGGACAACAGCCUGUUCCCCCUAGGGUAUUGGAAAGGGUACAUGUGGAACAAACUCCCCUGCUGCCGUCUCCAUGCCAGGUGCCAGGAUGGGGCUGGACGCUGCUGUCAGACUCCAGGACUGCCUACUGCCCAGUGACUCUUCUGACUUCCCUGUUUGACACAUACCUGAGCACAGCUGGAGCCAGACAUUGGCAGUAUUCAGGAAUCUGGAACCCAUGAGGAGCUGAGUAUCCAGGGGGGAUUCUACAGCACCCCCAUCUUCAUGUACAAGGCUGCA